UAUUCGUACGUCUGUUUUGUUCUCCGUCUUCUAUUUCUUUUACUAGUACUACCACUAUAUCUGUGUGCGUAUGUGUGUGUUAUGUAAUAAACCAGGGAAACAAAUUAGAGAAGAGUAAGAAGGAGAAGAAGACAAAGUUGAGGUCCAUUAUAAAUAGGAUUGUUUGUUU
rnacentral:ribozyme from 1 species